UUUUUUUUUUUUUUUAAUAUGUAUUUCCUCUUCGUUAUGCAACGUAGUGGUACUGAUUGGGGUUGUCUUUGUCUCUCUCCAUAUAGUCUCUGUCAAUGAGAGAUUCAAUCCUCUUUUUCAAGUCUCCAGGCUUUACCGGAAAUUUCAGUUGGUUAUACAAUUCAGAAACAAGGAGAUUGUGACCAAGAGUCUUUCUCAUCUUCAUUAUUCGUACAAUGGCAGCAUCAAUCUGAUACUGUCUGUCUUGAAAUACUCUUUCAGUUGUGCUAACCUGUUCCUCGACUGUUUCUUUCAUCUGGAUUUGAUUGAUCUUUAUUCUAAACAAUUUAUGCUUGAAAUCACCAUUAAAGAUGAAUUUGUCUCCAUCUUCUACAUCCUUGCCCUUUGGAUUUUUAAUCAAUACUCGUGCUUUCCCACAAGCUAAGGACUGCAAGGUUCUUCUUAAUUCACUGUCCUCUAUACCGGUGGCCAUUUUAAUUUCUUCAAAACUGAAUUCAUCUCCUUCAUUAAACAUAAGCAGCACUAAUGUCUGAAAGAGCGACACUUGAAA
rnacentral:lncRNA from 1 species